rnacentral:rRNA from 1 species
AGUGAACGCUGGCGGUAGGCCUAACACAUGCAAGUCGAACGGCAGCACAGUAAGAGCUUGCUCUUACGGGUGGCGAGUGGCGGACGGGUGAGGAAUACAUCGGAAUCUACUUUUUCGUGGGGGAUAACGUAGGGAAACUUACGCUAAUACCGCAUACGACCUACGGGUGAAAGCAGGGGAUCUUCGGACCUUGCGCGAUUGAAUGAGGCGAUGUCGGAUUAGCUAGUUGGCGGGGUAAAGGCCCACCAAGGCGACGAUCCGUAGCUGGUCUGAGAGGAUGAUCAGCCACACUGGAACUGAGACACGGUCCAGACUCCUACGGGAGGCAGCAGUGGGGAAUAUUGGACAAUGGGCGCAAGCCUGAUCCAGCCAUACCGCGUGGGUGAAGAAGGCCUUCGGGGUGUAAAGCCCUUUUGUUGGGAAAGAAAAGCAGCAGGUUAAUACCCCGCUGUUCUGACGGUACCCAAAGAAUAAGCACCGGCUAACUUCGU